UACGGGGGGGGCAAGCGUUGUUCGGAAUUACUGGGCGUAAAGGGCUCGUAGGCGGCCAACUAAGUCAGACGUGAAAUCCCUCAGCUUAACUGGGGAACUGCGUCUGAUACUGGAUGGCUUGGAUUCGGGAGAGGAAUGCGGAAUUCCUAGUGUAGAGGUGAAAUUCGUAGAUAUUAGGAAGAACACCAGUGGCGAAGGCGGCUCACUGGCCCGGUACUGACGCUGAGGCGCGAAAGCGUGGGGAGCAAACAGG
rnacentral:rRNA from 1 species